GAGAGAGAGAGAGAGAGAGAGAGAGAGAGAGAGAGGAUUAGGCUGUGGUGAGAGAGACUACUGUCUCUGAGCGUGGCUGAGAGAGAGAGAGAGAGAGAGAGAGAGAGAGAGAGAGAGAGAGAGGACUAGGCUGUGGUGAGAGAGACUACUGUCUCUGAGCGUGGCUGAGAGAGAGAGAGAGAGAGAGAGAGAGAGAGAGAGAGAGGACUAGGCUGUGGUGAGAGAGACUACUGUCUCUAGGCUUUAUAACCGAGCCACCACGACCAAACCAAAAUGUCGUCUCUGUCUCUGACACAGUGUGUCAUCAGGGAAGUAAACACCUCGUUAUAUAUAUAGAAAACAAAACAAACGCCAAAUGGGGAUUUUAUUUUCGUAUAUUGUACCGUCUCUGUUUAGUCGUAUGUUUACUACAUAAAAAUAAUACAUAUUGAUGCAUUAAAUGCACCUCUGAGACUAUGUAUAUAUUUCCUAAUAUUAGGCCUAUUAAUAUUUAUUGCUCUGAAAGAAACAAAGCAGAUUUUAUUUUGAAGUCAAAUAUAGAAACAUCUGGUACUACCCCUCCUCUCAGGUCCAUGAGUACAGAACUACCCCUCCUCUCAGGUCCAUGAGAAGAACAGAACUACUCCUCCUCUCAGGUCCAUGAGAAGAACAGAACUACCCCUCCUCUCAGGUCCAUGAGAAGAACAGAACUACCCCUCCUCUCAGGUCCAUGAGAACAGAACUACCCCUCCUCUCAGGUCCAUGAGAACAGAACUACCCCUCCUCUCAGGUCCAUGAGAACAGAACUACCCCUCCUCUCAGGUCCAUGAGAACAGAACUACUCCUCCUCUCAGGUCCAUGAGAACAGAACUACCCCUCCUCUCAGGUCCAUGAGAACAGAACUACCCCUCCUCUCAGGUCCAUGAGUACAGAACUACCCCUCCUCUCAGGUCCAUGAGAAGAACAGAACUACUCCUCCUCUCAGGUCCAUGAGAAGAACAGAACUACCCCUCCUCUCAGGUCCAUGAGAACAGAACUACCCCUCCUCUCAGGUCCAUGAGAAGAACAGAACUACCCCUCCUCUCAGGUCCAUGAGAACAGAACUACCCCUCCUCUCAGGUCCAUGAGAAGAACAGAACUACCCCUCCUCUCAGGUCCAUGAGAACAGAACUACCCCUCCUCUCAGGUCCAUGAGAAGAACAGAACUACCCCUCCUCUCAGGUCCAUGAGAAGAACAGAACUACCCCUCCUCUCAGGUCCAUGAGAACAGAACUACCCCUCCUCUCAGGUCCAUGAGAAGAACAGAACUACCCCUCCUCUCAGGUCCAUGAGAAUAACUGAACUACCCCUCCUCUCAGGUCCAUGAGAAGAACAGAACUACCCCUCCUCUCAGGUCCAUGAGAAGAACUGAACUACCCCUCCUCUCAGGUCCAUGAGAACAGAACUACCCCUCCUCUCAGGUCCAUGAGAAGAACAGGAGACAGAAAGAGACAGACUGGGAACAUUACAUGUCCAGGCUUUGACUGACAGAGGACUGGAAGGGACCCGUUGGGACUAACUCGUUAUCAUGCUAUUGAAGGACAACAACAGCCUUGACUGCCACCAAUAAAUAUAACAAUAUUUUUUAUUUAUUUACAAUAAACUUUUGAAAUAAUUAUAUACACAUCCGGCAACAUUGGAGUACCAGAUGAGGACCGGGGAAGAGACAGAACCAGAACCAGAACCAGGAGACAAUAACAGAAGGACGUCGCCGCCCCAAACCCACACCGAGACAAAGAGGCAGCCCAGAAUCCCCACGUCAGGACAUGCCAAGAAGGCUCCUCUCGACCUGGACAGACAAGACAACCAUGUAUUCUGCAACAGCAGUAUUGGAUCAGGACAGACAGACAGACGGACCGGACGGCCCAAGGAUCUGCCCCGACCACCACCCUUCUGAUCAGGACAGACAGACAGACGGACGGCCCAAGGAUCUGAUCAGGACAGACAGACAGACGGACGGCCUAAGGAUCUGAUCAGGACAGACAGACAGACAGACGGCCUAAGGAUCUGAUCAGGACAGACAGACAGACGGCCUAAGGAUCUGAUCAGGACAGACAGACAGAUGGCUGUCCCAACCACCACCCUUCUGGAAACCUGUGCCUUUAACCAACUCCAUCACAUCCAUUUUGCUUUUGUUUUCUGAUUGUUGUCCAAUUUUGGGUUGGAGCUCUGCUACUGGAUGCAUCUCCCGUACUGUCCUGCCCUCUAGUGGACAACUGGAUACAUCUUCCGUACUGUCCUGCCCCCUGGUGGACAACAGGAUACAUCUCCCGUACUGUCCUGCCCCCUGGUGGACAAGAGGAUACAUCUCCCGUACUGUCCUGCCCUCUAGUGGACAACAGGAUACAUCUCCCGUACUGUCCUGCCCCCUAGUGGACAACUGGAUACAUCUCCCGUACUGUCCUGCCCCCUGGUGGACAACAGGAUACAUCUCCCGUACUGUCCUGCCCUCUAGUGGACAACUGGAUACAUCUUCCGUACUGUCCUGCCCCCUGGUGGACAACAGGAUACAUCUCCCGUACUGUCCUGCCCUCUAGUGGACAACAGGAUACAUCUCCCGUACUGUCCUGCCCCCUGGUGGACAACUGGAUACAUCUCCCGUACUGUCCUGCCCCCUGGUGGACAACUGGAUACAUCUCCCGUACUGUCCUGCCCUCUGGUGGACAACUGGAUAUAUCUCCCGCACUGUCCUGCCCCCUGAUGGACAACAGGAUACAUCUCCCGUACUGUCCUGCCCCCUGGUGGACAACUGGAUACAUCUCCCGUACUGUCCUGCCCCCUGGUGGACAACUGGAUACAUCUCCCGUACUGUCCUGCCCCCUGGUGGACAACAGGAUACAUCUCCCGUACUGUCCUGCCCCCUAGUGGACAACUGGAUACAUCUCCCGUACUGUCCUGCCCCCUAGUGGACAACUGGAUACAUCUCCCGUACUGUCCUGCCCCCUAGUGGACAACUGGAUACAUCUCCCGUAC
rnacentral:lncRNA from 1 species